CUCAAGGAUCGAAUGCAAUUACGCCGGCCAUAUAUACUUGCUAUGCUGUCUGAGUCUCCCAAGGGCAGCAUAACAGUACAAGGGGAGUGACAUCUUUAUGAGACAGGCAGGAAUGUCAAAGACAGUAGAAGGACCGACCAUCAGCUGUGAGUAGCUCACAGAGUGCAGCCUCCUGCGGAGAAUCAGAGAGGUGGGGGUUACUGGCUUUCCUCUGUGCCCUAGAGGUUACUGGUUUCUGUUGAACUCUUAACGUACAUAAAAGGACAAGACAGGGAGUAAAAACAACUCAGGUGCUGGAGGAAUCCACCUGCUCGUCGUC